rnacentral:rRNA from 1 species
GACCGAGGGUGCAAACGUUGCUCGGAAUUACUGGGCGUAAAGCGCGUGUAGGCGGGAAGGUAAGUCGGGUGUGAAAUCCCUGGGCUCAACCUAGGAACUGCAUUCGAAACUGUCUUUCUGGAGUGAUGGAGAGGAAAGCGGAAUUCCCGGUGUAGAGGUGAAAUGCGUAGAGAUCGGGAGGAAGGCCGGUGGCGAAGGCGGCGCUCUGGAACAUUUCUGACGCUGAGGCUCGAAAGCGUGGGGAGCAAACAGG